AAAAACGGAAAAAAAUAACAUAAUAUUCGCAUAAACUUCUUAUUGGUCCAAUUUUUUUUUCUUUUUGGCUUUCUUCGGUUUUACCUCAGCUUCAAUGGUCAUCAUCAAUCCCUUUGGACAAAACACGUCGAUUAAAUGAAGAUUUCGUGUGACUUGGUGUUUUCGAAUAUUGGUGAACUAGAGGAGAUACACAGAUUUUUGUUUUUU
rnacentral:ribozyme from 12 species